GAUGAACGCUGGUGGCGUGCCUAAUACAUGCAAGUCGAGCGAACGGACGAGAAGCUUGCUUCUCUGAUGUUAGCGGCGGACGGGUGAGUAACACGUGGAUAACCUACCUAUAAGACUGGGAUAACUUCGGGAAACCGGAGCUAAUACCGGAUAAUAUUUUGAACCGCAUGGUUCAAAAGUGAAAGACGGUCUUGCUGUCACUUAUAGAUGGAUCCGCGCUGCAUUAGCUAGUUGGUAAGGUAACGGCUUACCAAGGCAACGAUGCAUAGCCGACCUGAGAGGGUGAUCGGCCACACUGGAGCUGAGACACGGUCCAGACUCCUACGGGAGGCAGCAGUAGGGAAUCUUCCGCAAAGGGCGAAAGCCUGACGGAGCAACGCCGCGUGAGUGAUGAAGGUCUUCGGAUCGUAAAACUCUGUUAUUAGGGAAGAACAUAUGUGUAAGUAACUGUGCACAUCUUGACGGUACCUAAUCAGAAAGCCACGGCUAACUACGUG
rnacentral:rRNA from 1 species